rnacentral:lncRNA from 1 species
UGAUUCAAAAAUCCGAAAAUCCCAUAAAAAUUUGAAAAUUUGUUUUAAAAAAAAACCCAAAAAGAGUUGUUUUUGUGGUUGUUUGUGUCUUAGGGUACCUUCCAACACAAUGAUGAGGAUUCGGUUUUUAAUUGCAUGACUGUUAAAGAGAGUUAUAAACAUGGAUGAAAGUUUGAUUUACUCUUGGUUUAUGCUUGGUUGUGGUUAUAACUUAUGAAUUCACAUGUAAUCAUAAAGGAAAAAAAAAUUAGUUUUUUGUAACAUGCUUGAAGGAAGGAACUCAAACUAACGCUACAUCCCUGAGAGAUUUGAGCCUAAACUUUAUUUGGAGAGUUAAAAUCUGUGCAUUCUUGUUUUCUAAAGUCGUUGCAUGAUCUCAUUAUUCUUUGCUUGGUUGUUACUUAGAAUGCGUUUCAUCACUUUAGUUCCAAAUGCUAGAACUCAUGCCAAUUUCAUUCAAAACAUUUCAUUGAAUUGCAUAACACGUAUUCAAGAUGAAGUUGUUUAGUAGUUACCACCAUAGCCAAAAAGCCUUCAUUCCAUACAUUUGUUUUUGUAGGUUUUAGCCCCGUUGAGCCUUGUUUAGCCUAUAUUGUUUGUUAACCACGUUAUCCUUACCUAGCCUAGAUUAGGACCAUCCAUACCCUUGUUCUUAAAGCAUAGUAAGCAUGACUUAAAAUGAAUUCCUUUUGAUCAAGGGUGUGCAGAAAACAAGUGUGGGGGAAAGUGAGCCUUGUGUAUUGUGUGCCAAAGUCUUAAAUGAGGCAUGGGGUAGAAAAGAAAAGAAAAGAAAAAAAAAAUGUGAAAAGUGUGAAAAAGAGUUGAAAGAGCAUGAAAAUGAGCUCUAAGGUGUUGGUUGUUGAAGAAUGGGUCCAAAACAGUGAAUUUGACCCUAAGUGUUGCAUGAAUUUCCCCUUUGAGUUUAAAAGUUGAGUUUUGCAUUCAAAAGUGAAUUCUAAGUGUCAAUUUCAUUGCUUUGCUUACUAUUGUUUUAAGAACGUUUGUUUACCCUUCACCUUUCUUUGUUAGCCAAUACCCAAGCCCCGUUACAACCCUUAACUUCUAUCUUGAGUGUUGUGUAUUUCAAUUUGUGGAGUUUGGGAUUGGUAUGAGCAUAUGGUGUCACUGGUUUCUCGCGUCUAAGUAGUAGCAUUCCUUUCAUGAGAUCAUAUACAUGCUUAUUAAAUUCAGAAAAAGCUUUCCUUGUUAUAACAUAUGUGAGCAUUCGUUUUCAUAUUUACAUCAAUCUUCUCACAUAUAACUAGUAUAGGGUGUGUAGUCAGAAAAUCUGUGUGAAAAUUGAGUGCAUAUCUAGUGAGGAUUUGAGCAAAUUCUCUAAGGCAUGUUACUACAUUCAAAAUCAUGUUUUACUUGGUUAAAUGCGAACUAGUACGUGGUAACUAUAAUUAAGUAUGUGCUUAAGUGUAAAGAUGGCUAAAAUCUGUGGGAAUGAUGAUUUUUAAUAUGUCAUGUGCAUUGGAAAUCCCUGAGGCAAACGUUGGAAGGUUUAGGUUGUUUUUGUUUGUUUUGUUUCGUUUUGUUUUUUCUUUUGUUUCUUUGUUUUGCUCGAGGACUAGCAAAAGCUAAGUGUGGGGAAAUUUGAUAGGAGCAUAUUUAUGCGCCUUAGUUAGCUAGUUCUUAUGCAUUUUCGUUAUGUUUUCUUAGUUAAAGUAGUCUUUUGAGCUACUUUCAUGUGUUUUCAGGUUCAAAGGGCAUAUGACAUAAAAGAUGGUAAAAUGGAGCAUUUUAGAGCAAAAGUGAGCUUGGAUUGAAAAGUACAUGCUUGGAACAAGGAAUGGACGAGUUUGAAGGUCAAGGGAGCGUAAGAAAUGAAGAAAUGAAAGUGAAGAACAAAGAAGUCGGAAUUGGCAACUAAAGUUUCUAAAGUUGGAAGUUUCUAUUCUUGGAGGUUUCCAUUUUCGAGAGUUUCUAUUCUUGGCUUUGGGCUUCUAGACGACCCAUCCCUACCUCUUGGACAAGGCCGCAUCCUCCUAGCCCAAUUCAUCUUGGAUCCUCACUUAAUGCCGCACCUAAACCCUAGCCCAUUUCCAAAUCUGAUUUCCCUAAUCUCUGCCGCACCUAGGGCCCCAAAAUACCUGAUUUCCUUGCCUUGCAAGGCAUUCUAGAAGGCCCAUCUCUAACCCUAAUCUGAUUGCUAGGGUUUGAAGUGCCUAUAUAUACUCCUUUAAACCCUUUGGCCGAACAUACCCUCUCCAUAUUCAGAAAUUCGUCCAAAACCCU